rnacentral:rRNA from 1 species
UACGGAGGGUGCAAGCGUUAUCCGGAGUUACUGGGCGUAAAGCGUGCGUAGGCGGUGUCUUAAGUUUGUUGUGAAAUCUCCCGGCUUAACCGGGAGGGUGCGGCGAAUACUGAGAUGCUGGAGUACGGGAGAGGUAAGCGGAAUUCCUGGUGUAGCGGUGAAAUGCGUAGAUAUCAGGAGGAACACCUGCGGUGUAGACGGCUUACUGGACCGUAACUGACGCUGAGGCACGAAAGCGUGGGUAGCAAACAGG